rnacentral:lncRNA from 1 species
AUGAAGCUAACCGUUGUGCAGACGCAGCGGCUAAGCUUACUAAAGUGAGUUUGUGCUCUUCGGAAUGGGCUAACCAGCCUCCAAUCUCGCUAGUUUCUGUUCUACAAAAUAACGGCCUCCCUGGUGAUUAGUUUUGGCACUGUGCUGCCCCAGCUUUAUUUGCUGUAGCUUGCUUUGUUUUUUUUUCUUGUGUUUUUUUUUUUCUGUCUUUUAUUCCCUUUCCUUCUUGUAUUGUUGUUUUAGCUGCCCAGGAGGCUUAAUGAAUUUCUUCAUUACUGACCAAAAAAAAAAAAGUGGGAUAAUUGGCUCAAAUAGUCAAAUUGAAGCGAGGUUGAUCAAGUUGAACCUUGCGGCGCUCUAUCUGAUUUGUUAUACCACUAGAAUUGUGAAAUUAUUGCUGUGUUUAUGUUGAGUACUAUAUGGAAGAGUUAAGAUUAAUGUGGUUUUGUUUGAUAGGAGGAAGAGGCUGUCUGAAUUGAGAGAAGCAGCUAAGGUUGCGAGGUUUGGAUCAGUGGUUCCAAUCUCGGGAUCAGAUUUCGUACGUGAGGUUUCUCAAGCUCCACCAGACGUUUGGGUGGUGGUGAUUCUUUAUAAAGAAGGAAUUGCGGAAUGUGGAUUGUUGAUGCAGUGUUUGGAAGAUUUGGCAACUAAGUACCCGGCAACAAAAUUUGUGAAAAUAAUUUCCACAGACUGCAUUCCUAAUUAUCCGGAUCGCAAUCUUCCCACUUUAUUAGUUUACAACAGUGGCGCUGUCAAAGCCAAUCAUGUUGGGAUGCGCAGCUUUGGUCGGAGAUGCACACCUGAAGGUAUCUAUUUUCUUCUGAAUACCCUGCCCUGACUUUCCUAUUCCUUUUGCAUAUAGACAGUUUAAUGGAUUUCUAACUUUCUCCACCCAAAAUAUAAAAAAAUAAAAAUUUAAAAAAACAUGCUGAUAGGAACUUCUGUGGACUAUGAAAUUGCAAAUCCGCUUGUUAAAAAGCAGCAAACGUUAAAAUUCAAAAUGAAAAUGGGUUAAUGUUGUUGUAGUUGGCGAGUUCUUUGUGCAAGAAAUGGCUUCUUGUGGUAUACUUGGAAUUGCUGCAACUUCAUCUACUAUUUAUGAGUGUUUGGUUGUCUUAAAUUAAGUAUAUACAACCUUAGCACGAACUUUGGAUAAGGAUUUCAGUAACUUUUUCUAGGAUAAAUUCACAUUCUAUGGGAAAUGCAUUUUUGGAUGGAAUAGCAUAUCGGCCUGCUGUACAGUUCAAACCAGAUGACUGUUUCAUUUUAUACGGGUAGCGAAGAAUCAUGGUGUUAGAUAUUAUUUCCUCCAAGAAUAGGGCUCUUACUGACGUGUGCAAAUAAUUGAUUUCUGUCUUUCGUUGCUAUUCUGAAAUACAAAAGUGGAUCAUUAACUUAUGGAUAAUGAAAGAACUAUCUUUAUAUUAACUACACAUGAUUUCACCUCGGGUGGGAAAAAUCUAUUGGCCUGUGGGCUUUAGCAUAGAUAAUGACUACUCACUACUCCUUGAAGCUGGACAUAGAUAAUGAAGUACUCCCUGGUGCUGGACAUAUAAAUGAAUGCAGAUCUGUUGUGCUUCACCGGAUGGGUUUAUGUUCUCUUAAAAGUAAAGAAGUUAUUAAAAUUAGAAUCCGGUUGAGGCUGCAUAGCAGUGGGUUGUUUUUAUGCAGGUGCUUAUAUUGAUUGUCUUGUUUGGCUCAUUGGAAUAGAGGUCGAGAAAAAGCUUUCUAGUAUUACAAAGUAGCUUAGAAUGUGUUGUUUGCUUGAAUGGUCCGUUACCCAUUUAAAAUGUUAUCCUCAGUUUAAUUACAGAGCGCUUCUUUGGUUUUUGCACUGUAUAUCAUAAACUUCUAAUUAACAUUGCAAGCUGUUCUAAUAUUAUUGCAAACGAUACAUUUAUAGAUACAUGUAUGUUUCUUGCUCAAUAUGUAUUAUAAACAUCCUUUUGUUCUGUAGCUCAAAUACAUGAGCUGAUGAUCAUGAUCAGCAUUCUCUUUUGACUUUGGCCUUGUUAUUGAAAUUAUAACUGUUUUUUUUCUUCUUCUAGUGACUAGUUUCUCUGUUUUGCUGAAUACUAGGUGUGGCAUUAGUUCUCUGCCAAUCAGAUCCUGUGCUUAAUGAUGGGCAGAGUGCUAAUGGUCAUUCAAGGGAAGCCGUGAUCGAGGGAGUUCGCAAGAGGUUCAUAGAGAAAGUUGUGACACAACAUGAAGAUAAGGACGAUGGAUAUUCAAGUGAUUAGAACUUUAGUAACUGUAUGUUGGUUUGUCUAAGAAUUAUGUUGUUUUCUUGUCAGGGCUUCUGUAAGAGUGUGAGUUUAGAUGAAUACUGCCAUUUAGUGAAUCAUCUUGCUGCUUGCAAAACCGUUUUCAUGGUAUGUGGAAGAAUAUGACUGAAUUGCAUUAUCUGAGUGACCUAAUUAUUAUGUCAACUGCACAUUGUAUGAGAUGACAUAGGGAUUCAGUUAUUACAGUAUUAGAAGAUAUGAUGGUCAUUGACUAUCAAAGUUGUAUUCAGUUGUAGUGUUCUCUUUAUUCAAUUGAUGCAUCUUAACCAGCCCUGAACCUCUCAUUGCAUAUUAGCUUUUGACCACAUUCACCAGAUAAUCUAUAAUGUGGUGAUUUUUGUAGCGAGUGAUCUUAACAAAUCACUCCAUUGUGGAGACCUGAUACCACAAAUCGACGUUAACAAAUUGCUAACAUCAGCAAAGCUCCAUGAUGCCAUGGAUGACAGCACAUAUCUACAACGCAAGUGUUAUGUACUCUUAAUAAUGUUCAUGAAAACUUUAUGUUAGUUGCUGAACAUAAAACUUUCGUUAGCCCAAGUUCCUGUGAAUAGAUAUAGCAUGAAACAUAGCCAUCGCAUUGCAUAUAUAAAUAUUGUGUAUAGUUUCCCUAUAUAAUAAUUCUCACUAAUGACUGAUGAGACGGUAAUUAAAAUACAUAUGACUUGCAUUGAAAUAUUGAACUGUGAGAUAUUGGAGAAAACUUAAGAAUUAUACAAAAUACAGGUUCUUCAAGUUUUGUAGCAUUACUAGAUGGUUUCAAUCACCUCUUGCAGCUCUUUAUAUCAUAUUUCCAAGUCGGUUGAACCAUCCGAGCUCUGAGAUGCACGUUGCGUAGAUCGUAGUGUGUCACGUAUGAGGUUAAAGAACUUUGAUGCUCAACAUUGUGAAUCAGAAACUAAUAAAUAUAUUAAACAUAGAACAAAUAGUAUUGUGAAUAUCUAAGUUAAGUGUGUUAUAUGCAUAGACAAAACCUGUACAUAAUAAAAGCUAGCUUAGAGGAGUCAUGAAAUGUAGAAGGUAAAAUUGAACUAUAACUCAAGGUACUGCUAAUCGCACAAAGCCUAUUAGAUGAGUUUGAUUAUUUUUUUUGAAUGAAAGAAGGUUAGACGAUUUUAUUUAAUAAGCACGCGUCGACCACACCUCCGACAUCGACCACGCCAUCGACACCGACCAAGCCGCCAUUGCCAAGGUACGCCAGAAUCUCGAUUUCCCUCCUUCGACCCUAACCUAUGUGUCUCCAGAUUCGAAGGCUUCCCAGCGGUCUCUGAUCUCUCUAUACCAACCACACCGCCAUCGUAUGUCCCAUCAAAACAAAAAGGAGACCUAAAGAGGAUCGACGAAGGCCUACCAUGAUUCCUAACAAAAACCAGCAUCUUCGGUCGCCGAUCAACCUUUCUCUCACCUGCCAUCACUUGUCUCAUGACCACAUGGCCAGAUCUCUUCAACAAAAUUGCUUUGAGGCGUGCUCAAUCUAGUCGAAGGCAAUCAACGAUCUCAACCGGACCACCACCACCACCAGAUUGCACACCCGCUGGUUCACCCCAUCCACCACGAACCAGAGGUGUUCGUGACAGAUAGGGAGGCAAGGCAGAGACCAUCCACACAGGUAACGACGCUGAGAAUGAUGCUGAAAAGGUACACCAUGGUUGAUGGAGGAAGGAAUAGAGUGGCCAUAGAAGGCGAUGUCUAACCCCUAGCAGAGCGCUAGGCAUUUUGAGAAGAUUUUGUCAAAGCCGAGACGGCGACGAUAAACCCUAGCAGAGCGGCUGCUAGGUUAAAAAGAGGGGGAAGGAUUGGUGUUUUUUAUUAGAUGAUCGAGCUUGAUUUGCCAAGCCUCAAAAUAUGGUUUCCAAUAAUUCAUAUUCGAAUCUACAAACUCCAUAUCAUUUGACUACCUUGUAGUGGUUAGCCAAUUCAUUAUUCAUUAUUGACCUUUGAUACAUGAAUAUAUGAGAUCCCUUGCCUCUGCCAGGGAGUGCCAGCCACACUCCGACCAUUAUCUCAAGAUCUCUGUUCCAAAUUCCAAUUAGCAUUUUCAAUAAUGCUGUAAAACAGCAUAUCAUUCCCUAAUUUGCCUUCAAUAUAAUGUCACCUUCAUCUUCAAUUGCGUACAAAUAAAAUAGAACCAGGCGCAAUGAAAUUGUGUUAUCAUCUUGCAUGAACAAAUAAUUUCGUGUCAAUUGGAUUGUCUGUUGAUGAAACAAAAUUACAAAGGCGAUGUUGUUCAGAAUUAACACAUCAAGUUAUGAAUGAUUUAAGGACAGAAUGAUCAUUCACAAAUCAAAGUUGGAUUCAGUUGUUGUGCUCCAACUUUUAAUUAAUUAAUUAAUGUAUCUUCAGCCAAUCAGCCUCCCUCAAACCUUUCUAAGAGAUGUGUCGGUUUUGUCCGCAUUCACCAGAUUGUCUAAAACAGGAUGGAACUUGUAACUUAUGGGAUUUUGGUUGUGAAUAAUAAAUUGUAUAAAGAGAUAUUAUUAGAGAAGAAAUUAUGAACACUAGCUUAAUGAUCAUGAAAACUUUAUGUUAAGUCGCUGAAUAUACAUAUUUUGUAACCCAAAUUCACACAAAUAUAUCUAGAACAAAUUAUGACUAUUGUAUGGUAGUGGAUUAGCUGGUUGUGCUUCAUACGAGUAACGUAUAAUAAAAAAGGAUAGGGACUCUGCUAGGGUUUUUACUUAACGGCGCCUUGGUAACAUUGGUCCGGGGAUUUAGAUAUCCUACUUUUUUUGGCUAUUCUGAUGAGAUCGGAGGCAAUGGAGAGAUCAAUUAGCUUCUAGAUCAGGCAGUCAGAGUUCGAUCUCCGUUUUCUGGUUUUCGAUGUCGGUUUUCGGACAAAGGAGGCCUCUUCGAUCUAGCGGAGUGCUGCAGUUUCGGCUGACAGGGUAACAUGGGUGUUUCUGAGUAAGGUAGUUUAUCUAACAUUUCAUGGUUACUUUGGUGCUGCACACCAAGGUUUGCAACAUAAAGAUUACUUGGGCUAUUUUAGGUAGUUUCAUAUGUUUUCAUUUCUUAUGUAGCCCGUGAGGGAGGUUCGUGUUAAUACUAUUCUCUUACUUGAUAAACAAAUAACUAUUGUAUGGUACUAAAACGAUCAUAGCAUAUAUAUAAAUAUAUAUAUAUAUAGUUUCUAUCCUGAGUAAAGCUUCGUUUUGAAAUUAAAGUGUGAAGUUUCUUAUUUGACUCAUUUUUCAGUCAUAUUUCUACAUCUCAUCCGUUCAGUUUAUUGAUACUAAUGUAUAGAUCAUUCCUGUAAAAUUUCAUCCAAAAUUGAUGAUUGUUAAGAUACCGAAUUAGAUUAAAUCAAUGAACGGAUCAUAAAUUUGUCUAACAAGAACUAUCUGUGUAAAUAACGAUUACGAAAACCCAAACGAUCUUCAAAUUUGAUGAAACUUUACAGAAGUGAUCUAUGCAUCAGGUUCUACAAAUUGAACGGAAGUGAUGUGAAAAUAUGACCGAAAAGUGAGUCAAAUAAGGAACUUCACACUUUAAUUUCAAAGUGAAGCUUCGCUCUGGAUAGGAACUGAUAUAUAUAUAUAUAUACACACACACACACAUUCAUAUUUUCAAAACGGGGCUCGGCUAUGUGUGUGUGUGUGUCUGUCUAUNNNNNNNNNNNNNNNNNNNNAGAUCUGUUUUUAAUGGGCUUUGAUUGCUGAGAUUAAAACAAAAAUCUUAACACUUAUGUCAAGCCUACACCGUUCAAGAUUAUUGAAAAUAAAUCAAACAUUUGGAUGACUUAACGAUCACCAAAUUUUCUAAAAAUUUGCAGAAGUGAUCUACUCAUAUACACCUACAAACUGAAAGGUGGAGAUAUGAUUUUGUGAUCGAGAAGUUUGUCAAAUACCCUAUCCCUAGAAAUAAACAAAAAAAGGGAUCCCUCAUUGGAAGGGUCAUGUAUAUAUAUACACACACACACACACAUAGCGGAGCCCCGUUUUAAAAUUAAAGUGUGAAGCUCCUUAUUCGACUUUCUGGUCAUUAUUCUGCAUCUCCACCGUUCAAUGUCUAGAAUAUAGUGUGUAGAAAGUUUCAUCUAAUUUGGAGAUCAUUUGGGUACCAAAUUAGAUUAAAUGAAUCAAUAGAACAUAAUAUGUUCAAAUGGAACUGUUCGUGUAAAUCAUAAAUACAGAAGCUCUAAUCUUCAAAUUAGAUGAAACUUUGUAUAAAUGAUCUACACACUAGUAGCUAGAUACUGAAUGGUGCAGAUGUGAAAAUGUAACCGGAAAGUAAUCGAAAUAAAGAGCCCUAAACUUUAAUUUCAAAACAGGGCUCCAUCUUGGAUAGGAAAUAUAUAUAUACACACACACAGAGUUCUCUUCUAGAGCGGGACACCGCUUUGAAAUUAAAGAGUGGUGCUCCUCAUUUCGCUCACUUUUAGAUCACAUUUUCACAUCUCUACCAUUUAGUGUCUAGAAUAUAGUGUGUAGGUCAUUCCUGCAAAGUUUCAUCCAAUAAUCCAAUUUGGAGAUUUGUGUGUCGAAUUAGAUUAAAUGAAUCAACUGAACAAAAUUUGUCCAAACGGAACCGUUCGUGUAAAUCACAAUUAAGGAAGCUUAAAUGAUCUCCAAAUUAGAUGAAACUUUGCAGGAAUGAUUUACACAUUAUGUUUUAGACACUGAACGGUGGAGAUGUCUUCCCUUUUAAGUAAGGGCCAAAAGGCGUUGUCGUAUUCCCUUUUGCUCUCUUAGGUUAGAGUUUCGAAAACACCGAGCGAGCAACUUCAUUCUCUCAUUCAAUAGAUGACAUACAUGCCAUGGUUGCAAGACUUGUAUCCUCUCUGGCUUUUGCACGGGGUAGAAGGCGGUGAAUCUUAGACCAUUGAAAAGAAAAGGCCUCCGUCAGGCGGAGGUUUUUCUGGCGGGUAAGCUUCUUACUGCACGCGAUUUCAGUCGCAGAUCAUUCGUGGGGAUGUUCAAGACGGCUUGGCAAUUGAAUGGAAAUUUAGGGUUGAACCUACUGAAGGAGGAAAAGUCCUCUUCUCUUUCUCGGAUCCAAACUGCAAAGCUAGGGUCUGGAAGGGAGGCUCGUGGUGUUUCAAUCGUGCAACUAUAGCGCUCGCCAAUUAUGACGGCAUCGAUGAUGUGAAGAAUAUCCUGCUGAUCAAGUCUUCAUAUUGGAUUACUUUGUUGAAAGUCGUACUCUCUUUCGAUCUGAAAGACUCAUGCGUAUGGUUGAAAACACACUGGGAGAGAUGCAGGAGUUUGAUAAGACGACUUAGAAGAAUCAAACUAUAGAUCAGGGUUGAGAUCGAAUUCGGGCAACCCUUGAUGUUGGAAAGAUUAUUCUGCUUGGAUGAUGGAGUGGAAAAAAAUCAUACAAUUCAGAUAUGAUAAAUUCUUUGGGAGAUGUGGUCAGACAACUGAAGUUGCUUUGCCGUGUACCGGAGCACAUCUGGAGCCGGCCGACAAGGCAGCAGCGAGCCAGCGACACCUCUCGGUGUUCAGAUAGGACCGUUGUUCAACUCGGCUUUUGACACCUCUAUGGGUUCGGCAACACCUAUUGUACCAAGAACUGUGUCUAAAGCACAAAUACCCUCUGCGAUUGCACCUACUUUUGCUACCUUUGCUACUGGAGAAUUUGCUUCAGGUCCAUUGGCAGUGAGAUCUUUCCUGCCACCAAAAAAAACAAGCAGUUUGUGAUCAGGGAGAUUAUGAGCCUUAACUUGUGAGCUCUCUUGUUACUGGGAAAAGAAGAAAGAGAAUUGGUUGGGAUUCGGUCUCUCACCAAAACGACCUCGACUUAGUCUCGCUAUUGGUAGGCAUAUUGUUGUCACUGCAGCCGCACAAAGCAGGCCAAAUAAGAAGAAAAGAAGUCGUCUGUUGGGCAAAAAAAAAUAAAGAAGAAGACUCGUGGGACUGAUGGAAAAGGAGAUCCAGGCGAUGCAUGUAAGGCCAACAAGAAGAAAGCUGCAAAGAUGCAGUUGCAGUUGGAGGAGGAAAUAAAAGUGGUAAAAUCCAACCCUUCGAGGAAGGAGAUUGUUACAGUUUAAUUGUGUUUUAGGCUGGGGAUGAGUCUCUAGUUGAUGGUCAUAGCUCUAUAAGUCUUCUAACAAGUCUAAUAAGUCUCUCCUCUACCGAGCGAGGAUUUAAGUGUUUUGGUCUUGUUUUGGUCGGUGUGCUACUUUUGUGGAGUUACUCGUGGGGAAUAUGGGUUUUAUUGCUGUCUAGAUAUCAACAUAAGGGUGAAUUAGCUUUGCUCGUGGUUGGGUAGUAUUUGGACACAAUGUUGAAGAAUUCGAAGGGAAUUUGCUCGUGUUAGUGUUGGUAGUGAGGUUGUAUCGUUACUCUCAGGAUUUGUAGCUCUUUUUUAGCGUAAAAUUUGGUUAGGGUAAGGCUCUUUUGGCUCAUGGAUGUUGAUUUUGGUGACGAACCCAUAUCUAUUGAUCAUAGUAUGAAUGUGUGUUGUGAUGUAGUUAUCAUAACCGGUCGUUCUAAUGUGAUGUAAUUUCUUUGAUUGAAUAAAAUUCUUGUUAUUUCUCUUUUAAAAAGAAGUUAUUAUCCUCCUAUAUUAAUUAUUGAAUCUUAACCUCCUUCAAACCUUGUAGAAAGACAAUGCUCGCCUAACCUUACUUUCAAAGUUUUUGUUUUUGAAGAACCUUACUGUCAAAGUUGUACGUAGUACAUUAUUUAACUUUAGAACACACAUCACUGGUUGCCAUAUCGUUUUCCAAUUAUGUAGAUGAUACACACAAUAAUUGAUAAAGAGAAAUGACAUAGUCUAGGAAAGUAGGAGAAAUUAAGUUGAACAUGCAUUAAGCAAUUUACACGUAUUGUUAGUGUCUUUGAAAAUAUAAUGAUUGCUUUGUAACUUUCAUUGCUCCAGAAGGUUGGAGGUUCUUUUCUCAUCUCAAUUUCACUUUUAAGAAACAAUAAGUUCAAAUGCAAGGUGUACACAAAAGAGUCGUAGAAUGUAACUGGACUAAACUUACUAUAAUAUUGAUUACUUAUUAUAUUAUCGAUUGUUUUUUACUCAAAUGCUAGAACUAGUCUAUCGUGAGUCGAAAUUACAACAUCUCACAUAUUAAGAGGAGAUUACGUCAGUAUGUCAUUAGACCAAAUGAUACUAGACUCGAUUGUCUUGAUACAUAUUCGAUAUGUAUUGUAUCAUAUUUCGAUAUAUUUAUAUUAGAAUAAGAAACAUUUAUUAAGAUAAACAAGAAUCAUUAACCGUGUAUGUAUGAUCGAUGGAGGACAUGAACUCCCCACUCAUGAAUGACUUCCAUAAGAUGAAAGAGCCCAACCCUUAAUCGGUGAUCGUCAUAAUUCAUUAAGUUUACUGAGAUGUCAUUAAUUAGUAUAUAUAUAUAUAUACAUAUUUAGUUGUAGCUCGAAUAUACACCUUUAAAUGAUAUAAUGUAAAAAUUUUAUAUAAUCUAUACGUGGCGCACUGACGCUUCGAGAGUUCUUUUAUUUUUUGUGUAGAGUCAACUUCACUUACUAUUUCAUCAUAAUCUCUUGAGACAAAAAUUUGUAAAUAAGAGACAUACAUGAUCAUGCAUCGUUGUACUUUUUGCUUAAUGCUACUUGAGUUGGUUGCCCAAUCAAAUAUCUUAUGAUGUAUAAACUCGAUAUGAAUUAAACUUUUUUAAUCAAGAGCCCUUCUUAUUCCUUCUUCAUUUUGUUACGGGUGUAGAGUCAACUUCACUUACAAUUUUUACUCAUAAUCUUUUGAGACAAAAAUUCUUGUAAAUAACGAACAUUCGGAAUCAUGCAUCAUUGUAUUUUUUACUUAACGCUGCUUGUAUUGGUUACCCAAUCAUCAAUCGUUAGAGAUAUGAUGUAUACACUCGAUAUGAGUUAAACGUUUCUUUCAUCGACAAUUCAUUUAAGAUUCCACCAACAAAACUAUGAUCGUACACCUUUUCUUAAUAUACAAAUAUAAGUUUUUUUUUUUGAAUAAUACAAAUAUAAGUUAAACUUUCGUUGAGUCAUUUAACCUUGAGCUCUUCAUAUUAGACCUAAAAUAUCAUCAUACAUUUUUUUUUUUACCAAAGUAAAUACUUAUUGUAUAAUUGAGUUAAAAAAAAACUAAUUGACUUACAUAGUCUAUAAUUUAUAUUACUAUACAGUAGCACACCGAAAUAUGAGAACCUAUUAAUCUUCUUUUUUUUUUAUCGGAAGAACCUAAUAAUCUUUUGUUUUACUAAAAAGGAAGUUUGUUCAAGUUUGGACACAUGUGUGAAACCUUUAUGCUUGUAUUGUUUUGUAAUUUGCAUAAUAAGUUUUGGGGACAUUGGAAUUUUGGACAGCUGAGGCUGACAAGCAAUCUGCCAGUGGACAAAACGUCGCCGUCUAGGCUUUUAUUAACGCAUGGCUUCGGGCACGCAUUACACGCGCGCUUCGGAGUGACGUCGGGGGAUUUGGUAGCUUAGCGUAGAACUGAGGGCAAUUCCUGUGAUUUUGUUCUCUCAAGGACACCGACAGCUUGCCUUCAAGCCGGCUAAGCCGUUUCACCCUCGGCUCCAAAUUACCUUCCCGCGUACUCACAUGAUUAUUGUUUUUUCUUUCUUUUUUUUUUUCUCGCGUGUAUUAUUACCAAGCAUAUAACUACAGAACCCAAAAAAACAAAAAAAAAAACAUACAGUAUACCAAAUUAUUUUCUGCAUAAAUGGAAAGAAAGUCCAUGUAAAAAAGAAACGUCCAUUUAAACUUUUGUAACAAAACAAAAUACAGUCCUUUUGAUUUUUCUUUUGAGGAAAUAUAUGUCCGUUUGAUAUGGAAAGAAAAAAGUACAAUAUGCAAAAGAACCAGGCAUAUAUAUGUACAACUACCUUUAACAUUUGAAACAGAAAAACAAGUUAAACUUUAAUACUUAAAGUAACUUUUUAUUUAUCGAUAACUUACGUUCUAUUUUAUAUAAUGAUAUCAAUUUAAAUAAUUUUUUUCAAGCUAAAUAACAAACUUUAUUUAAUAGAAAUAAACUCAUUGGCAAUUACAUCAUAAAUAAAAUAAAACGUUACAGAAUUAAAAACAAUAAAACAUAUUGUUAAUACAUAGCUAAAAUACUUGGCCAUGCCGAGAAUGCGACGUCAUUACCCACUCGUCGGAAAUCAUUCCGGUCAAGACACCACCAAUAAGACCUCCGUAGGUACACAAAAAGUGGAAGCAUAACAACAAUACACAUGCUAAAUCCACUCUGCAACGGCUAAACACCCCCGAAAAGGAGGGGAACUGAGCAACGCUAGGGAAACAGUCCCACAUCGAUAACUAAUGGCAAAACCUCCAGUAUUAGCCUAUAAAACAGGCACAAAUUCCUAGAUAAGGUAAGUUCACUAUUCCUCCCAUACUCCCGUACCAUACAAGUAGCAAGUGAACGACUUAAGCAUCGGAGAGUCGAAGACAGGGCCACCCCAGUCCCGAUUCCUGACGUGCUGUUGCUUGUGCAGAUACAGGACCCGGAGCUAAGGAUUCGACCUCCCGUCCCGUGACCUCGGGAGAGGUAGAAACACAUACUAAACGGAGAGCCGCACAAUUGGCUUGAUUAAAAGCUGAGGCAGUUAAUGGUAAGAGAAAAUUUUAAGAACAGUACAUGAUAAAUUGUCCACUCCUAAUUUUGACGUUUUAAGUUUUAAAAUAUCAUAAAGGUACAUGAACUUCUAAUCUCAACUAAAAAUAUGUACAUGUCGUUAUGUCUUCCGUUAUCUUGUGUGCUUUCCGUUAAAAUUUGAGGGACAAAUUCAUCACUCCCUAAUUUAGCAGUAAUAAAUUAUUAAAAUUAAUAAUUGCUAAGGAGGAGAAAUAAAAAAGAUCAAAUUCUCAUUGCUGAACUAGUAAUAAAUAUUUUUGAGGAGCAACAAAGUCAUUUUUGAGCAUAGAAGAUCCAAUUCUCAUUGUUGAACUAGUAAUAAAACAACAAUUUCUAGAAGGCUAAAAUUAAAACAGAAAAUAGAAUAGAGUGAUCUACUUGUAGACAACAAAGUCAUUAAGAUUAUAGUAUGAGUUAACAAAAUUAAAAAAAGUAUAUAAAUAGAAAAAGAGUAAAACAAAUAUAAAGAAAAUGGAAAAUGGAGAAAACCCGAAAUCACCUUUUGAAAUUAAGAAAUUACAUAAAAUUAUCGGCGUUACUCACGUUAUGUACUAAAAAUAUGUUGUGAUUCUAAUGUCAUGUACUAAACUUAUUAAAAAAUGUAAUAAGUUUGAUGUUGUUCGGCAUCAAAUUACGUCUUAGUUACUUCUCAACAUAGAUGUAUAUGUGCAUCUAACUAUCUUUUAUUAUUUUCUCAUUAUAUAUGCGUUUGUGCAUCUUAUUAUACUUUCUUACUUUUUUUUAUGUUUUUGUUUCACGCUAUGCAUUUUGUUUCGCACCGUGUAUUUUUCAAAUAUUAUUACGGUAGAUUAUCGUCCUUCAUAACAACAAUUUCUUUUUUGUCUGGUAGGUGCCAAGUGGCGGUCUAAAGCGGCAAAGGCUUGUACUGUAGCCAAUAGCCAGGGUAGGUAGCCAUAGAAACACACACUAGUAACGCCGAAGCCGCCGAAUCGGGUGGUAGCCAGAGAGCGAGAGAGAGGAAGUCUCCGUGUGGUCCCCCACCUCCAGCCUGUCCAAAAAAAAAAAAGAAAAACAAUGAAGUCACCACUUCACCUUUUCUAGCUUUUAACUCACCACCAUAAUCCCCCUCAUCUCUCUCUUCACUCUCUCUCCUCCUCCUCCUCCUCCUCUUUUCUCUCUCUUCUCUGCGUGUCCGUCCCAAAAACCCUCCUCCACCAAACACCCCCAAGCCCAUUACUUAACAUCUCCAAUUCCAUCCACCCCCAUUUUAGUUUUGACUUGCAAUUCCCCUCUCUAGAGCGCCAUGGAUUCCCACAUCCACGGUAGCUCUAUCUCCUUCUUCAUCGUCUUCACUCUCUUCUUAUCACUCUCCGCCGCCGCAUUGCCCCGCCACCCAAAACUCAUCUCCCCCAAAUCCAACUCCUCCGCCCAGAUUCACUCCAACUCCGUCCUCGUCGCCCUCCUCGACUCCCAUUACACCGAGCUCGCCGAGCUCGUCGAGAAGGCUCUGCUUCUCCAGACCCUCGAGCAGGCAGUGGGCCAGCACAACAUCACUAUCUUCGCGCC